GUGGGAGGGGGCUUGCUCCCGAUAGCGGGUUGUCAGUCUGCUCAUCAGUCACUGAUCCACUGCUAUCGGGAGCAAGCCCCCUCCCAC
rnacentral:misc_RNA from 1 species